rnacentral:rRNA from 1 species
UGACGGGCGGUGUGUGCAAGGAGCAGGGACAUAUUCACCGGACGAUGCUAACGUCUGGUUACUAGGGAUUCCAACGUCAUGUGGGUGAGUUACAACCCACAAUCUGGACUGGGAUAUGGUUUAGAGGUUUAGCUUCUCCUUUCGGAGUUGCGUCCCAUUGUCCAUACCAUUGUUGCGCGCGUGUAGCCCAGAGGAUUCGGGGCAUACAGACCUACCGUUGCCUGCACCUUCCUCCUUGUUUCCAAGGCAGUCUCUACAAUGUGCCCAAUCAGCCUAAAGACCUCGUUGGCAAUUGUAGAUACAGGUCUCGCUCGUUGCAUGACUUAACAUGACACUUCACAGCACGAGCUGACGGCGGCCAUGCACCACCUCUCGGCUUGUUAAUUAAGAACUUCAGUCUGACUUUCAUUCUGCCGUCGCCUCUGGUGAGAUUCUCCGCGUU